ACAUAGUGCUUUUUAAAAAACGACAAAUGUUUACGCCUUGGACUUUUUAGUGUUCAACUCGCAGCAUUAAAAUUUGAUGACAAAUUUAGAUCAAGGCUUCCUGGCUAUCUUCCCAGUCAAAAUCAUCUCUUGGCCCAUAGCCUCUAGAUUUUGUACGUCAAAAUGCUGCCGAAAGGUUUCUAGGUCAGGUCCAUGGCCACUCGAUGCGGACAUAACUCAUGUUCAACAACAAUUUGAAAGCAACAUCCCUACAUAACUUUUCAAGCGUGCGCUGGGCUCUCACACAGAUGAAAGUUGCAUGGAUAGGCUUAUAGAACAGGAUCGGGAUCACAGGCCCUAUAAGGUCGAUGCAACGCCUACUGGUCCUACCCAUGCCACUUCCAAAGACAAUUCACUUAACUAGACCCAUUAUUGCUCCACAGUGGAACCUCCACUUUUGUCUAAUGCAGCAAAAUAAACGGACCUCUAUCCAUCUACCAUUCCAACAAAAUAAAGCAGCUUGCAUAGAUAGGAGAAAAAGAGAUGAAGAGAGAUUCAGACAGUAAAAAGUCUAGCAAUCUGGUACUAUAUACUUUUUUGCAAAAGAAAAACUUAUCUAAAUCACUUGUAUGGUUACCUGAGUUUAUUAGUGUCAUGGACAAAAUGAAGCCAAGAUACAUAACAUUUACAGUGCAGACUUCCAAGUUGCCCUUAAGCAAAACUCACAUCACAAUACACUUAUCCUUUGAUUUUGCUUCGGGCCUUGAAGAUGAAGAUGAAUAUUUCCCAGUGGUUCUGGGCACCUGGGGACCGGUAAUCAGUCUUGAGCUGCCAGUAACAGUAGGUUGCUCCAAAUUAUGGCGUUGAGGCUGCUCCUGCUGCUGCUGCUGCUCAAACUCCUGUUGUUGCAGAGCUAUUGCAAGCUGCAGAUCAGAACUGCCACAAAAACAAAUCUAUAAAUGUAAAUCUUGCCUGUAACUUGAGGCAAAAUAUGAUCCGAGUACAAGGGGGAAAAAAAAAAAAGAUCAAAAGAGCUACAUGUAGAGAGUUUAAAAUUGGUAAUGGUCUUCUAUACUAAUGCUUUCCUAUUAAAGAUUAAAUCUACGCAUCUGUGAUGAGUCAGAACAAUUACUUCAUAUCCAAGCCCACUUGUGCUCCAGUAUCAAUGCUGGCAAUAUAGUCAGCAGUACUGGCCAUGGCAUUGUGCUCAUCCCAUGUAUCAUUUGCAUGACUUUCUGCCUUGAAUUCCUUGAAGUUGCCAGUCAUGAACAAUGUAUCCCCAUUGACCUCAUUUAGUUUCUCCCACACCAAAUCAGGCUGGUUUAAGUAUCCCUGGUCCGUAGCUAAAAGAUAAAGUUCACCAUCAUACUUAAACAUGGUGCUGAAGUGAUUGUUACGGAAAAAAACACAAAGUUCACGUUCUUUGAGGCCAUCUUGUAAGCAAAAAAGGCCAUAAAAAGUCAGCUGACUAGCACUGUUCUUCAAAAAGUUCCUUAUCAGUUCCCCUUCUUGUAGUGUGAUUUCAUCAUUUGGCCUCACAGUUUUAUCAGCCUGUUCCGCAAGAAUCACCUCACCUUCAUACAUAGGCUCUCGGUCUUCAAAAACUGCAGUUCCUGAAUCUAAUAUGCAUUCUUCUCCUUCAUAAAUGGGCUCACUGCCAUCAACACUAGAAGUAAAUGUUUCAGGUACAUCUACAUUCUGCAUUCUGCCACUAGAGGAAUCUGAAUCCAGAUUUGGGGCAGAAAACCCUGAUAUUUCUGCUGUGUCAUGCCCACCAGAAAUAUCUGCUGGUUCAUGAACAUCAGUUAUGGAAGCUGAUUGAUUCUCAACCAUUUUGCCUCCUCGAGAAACAUCCAUGCAGUCUUCAUCAACAGACACAAUAUUUUUUCCACCAGCUAGGGACGGUACACCAGCAAUCUGGACUGGCAUCUCAACACUACAACUCUCACUUAUAGCAUUACAAGAACCAGAGUCUGUGGAUUCUUUAUAAGUUGACUGAUCAAGCAAUUUUAUCUGAUCAGCGUUUGAAGGAGAACAUGUCAUUUCCCCUGGAAGAGAUUCUGAAGGGCUAAUCUGAUCAAUCUUUGAGGGAGAACAUGCCAUUUCCCCAGGAAGAGAUCCGAGAGAAAUGAGAUCACCGUGAUCACUGCUCAGGACGCCGUGAUUAUUAUCAAUACCAAUAUGCCCCUCCGAAAUAUCUAAAGAAUUUACAGGCACAGCACCCUUUGCAAAUGUAUAUUCAUCUGAACCAGCAGGUAGAACCCCUUCACUAACAUCAGCUACAAAGGCAUCACCCAUGGAAGUGGGCAAUUCCUUCGCCGACAAUUUUAAGACCCUCAACACCUCUGCUUCUUCUUCUAGGUCCCCUUUCCUUAAUGUCUGGUGAUCAGAGACUGAACGCGGAGAAUCAUCAAAAGAUCUAGCUUUUGAAAGACAGGGAGAAGGAACCCCCAGAGUUGCAGUGGUUGCAGCAGCAAAAUCAACAGAAUCUUCCUCAUGGUUUUCCUUACUUUCACCUUCCAUGUUUCGUGUUUCCAGGGCAACAAGCUCUCCCAUAAGAGCAUUAUAGGACUUUGACCCAAUCGCAUUUGCAGUAUCAGAAUCUUGGGGAUCAACCAUCCAACCGUGAUACAAAGGGAUGUCGAGCAAAUCAAAUAUGGCACAUUCUGGUGUGAACUCGAAAUCAUCUAUCCUCCUAAACUUUAUAUUUACAUCAAUUCCGGUCGCAAGACGUGGAAGCAAAUCUAUAGCAUCUGCAAUAUUCUGCUGUUGGUUUUCAACAUAGCCUGCAUCUUUAUUAUUUAUAUUACUGUUGGAAUCAAUCAAACGUUCUGCAACCAGUGAUAAUAGUUUCUCCUGCGAAACUUCUGCUAUAUCUGGGCUCAAAUUUAGAUUGUUCUUCAACAAAAGAACGUUACAGAUAGCGAGGAGAGGGCAAGGUCCAUUGUCGUUUUGGAGAACAAUAGGAGUAGUGCGGCCCAAAAACUGUAUCGUCUUCGUUUUGUGGACGCACUCCUCUUUCAACGCCUCUUGUUGAUUCUGUUCUUGUCUUGGUUCUUCGGUCACCGAAGAAGUACAAGCCAUUUCCAUGAAAUUUCGACCCUGCAAUGUUUAAACGACGGAUCGUUUAAUCUAUUCAGAGGUAGCGAGCGAGAGCGAGAAAUAGAGAGGAUAAAAAGGGAAGCAGCAACGAACAAGAUUUAUAAAAUCAGAGAGUUGGAUUAUGGGAAUGGGAUGUUUUAUCUUCUGUUCUUUAUUUCCCGUUCGACGGUAUCACCAAAGCCGUUUUGGCCUCUUUCGAUUUCAAGUUUCAAUCUGAUGAGAUUUUUUCUCAUUAUUUUCCUAUUUUU
rnacentral:misc_RNA from 1 species